UGUCUUUGUCGGGUUGGAAGGGAAAUGAGAGGAGAAUGGUAGGGAGAUUACCUUUCACCUGGCAAUUGUUCGGACAGAUCGCUAAUGAUAAUAGAAUGGAAAUGCUCCAUGGUGUCUGCAGGGGGGCUCGACUGUGCAGGCGCUCGUUUAAUAAGCUCUGCCGUUCUCAUUCAACACCAGACUUGUUUUCACGUAAAGUUGCCGACUGUUUGUACCAAGGCUCUAUUCACUGUCGUUUCGCCAUGUCAGCUGCAUUACGCUGAGGUCGUCGAGAAGGCGUUGGACAGUUUUACUACGAUGGACGGAGCUGCCAUCGUGCUGGAAAUGGUAGCACCCAUCCGUGAACGGCCCGUCCAGAGCAUAGGGGAGCAGCGUCCUCUCGAUGACCUCUGCGUAGGCCAUGGAAUUGAAGCGCCCUUCCAGUCGUACCAAAGGCCCGAGUCCGUCGUACGACAGGGCGCCCCAGACGCUCACCGUGU